rnacentral:rRNA from 1 species
UUGACGGGGCCCGCACAAGCGGUGGAGCAUGUGGUUUAAUUCGAUGCAACGCGAAGAACCUUACCUGGGCUUGACAUCCCGGGAAUCCCUUGGAAACAAGGGAGUGCCUUCGGGGAACCUGGAGACAGGUGCUGCAUGGUUGUCGUCAGCUCGUGUCGUGAGAUGUUGGGUUAAGUCCCGCAACGAGCGCAACCCUCGACCUUAGUUGCCAGCAUUCAGUUGGGCACUUUAAAGAGACUGCCGGUGUUAAACCGGAGGAAGGUGGGAUGACGUCAAGUCCUCAUGGCCUUUAUGCCCAGGGCUACACACGUGCUACAAUGGGUGGUACAAAGAGAUGCAAUCUCGCAAGAGCAAGCAAACCUCAAAAAGCCAUCCUCAGUUCGGAUUGGAGUCUGCAACUCGACUCCAUGAAGUCGGAAUCGCUAGUAAUCGCGGAUCAGCACGCCGCGGUGAAUACGUUCCCGGGCCUU